GCCCCGCCUCUGCAGCCUCCGCUCAAGCUCCCGCCUCGCAAACAGUCCCAGCAGUUUCUCUCUCUCCCGCAGCGCCGCCCUCGGGGUCCUUUCUCUGCACGGCCCACCUUUGGUGCUGUCUUCAGAAUUGCCGGACGCGGGUGACAAGACAAUCGUUUCCAACAUAUCCUUCUCCCUUUUUGUCAGCCCCAGAGACAACGCCUCUGCGCUUUUUCAGGAAGAUUCUAGCGGGAGCAGGUAAUAAUCCUUUGCCUAAGCACUAAAGCGGAGUUUCCCAAACAGGCGCGUGUAUUGGACGCCUCGGCCGGAGCGCGGGCUGGCGCUGAGGACCGGCUUUGCCAGCGGCAAGCUGCGCGUGCUGCGACCCAGAAGCGCCUUGGAAAGAGAAAUGCUGUUAAUAGCCUGCCUCCCAAAGCUACCACCCUUCAGUAAGAUGAAAAGUGAAGAAUUGCUUGUACUCCCACACCUCCUUGUCCUAGCUGCUGAAGACUAACAAGGCCCAUGGCCCCUGGCAUCAUCUGCUAUCACCUGCAUUGGCGCCCCGGGUAAUUUUACUAGUAUCAGGUGCGGCUUCCAGCUGAGGACCACCCACCGUGUCCAGCGAGGUGCUGAAGGGCCCGACCGUCACUUGAAAACACACGGAAGAUGCUUGCCUGUGGUCUGCCUCCUGGGCACCCCUGGUACUUCAUGCGGUCCCUGUGACGUGCCCCUCCUCUGGGGAAGCUGCUGGAGUACAGUGGCUCACGUGGUGCUCUUAUCUGGAGGAGGAAAUUUUGCUUCGGCCUCUUCACUGUUCUCCUGGCCUGCAGACUGCUCCUGCUUUAAGGUACUUUUACACCCAGAACUGAGCCAGUCCCUCCUCUGCUCUGAACCCUCCCAUGGCUCCCCAGCACCCUCCAAGGAAAAGCCCAGACGCCUCAGUGUGGUGUUUGAGGUUCAGACUCUCCAAUCUCACAUGCCCUGAUGCCACAUUCAGAUACCACAUGUGGCAGGCCACACCUAGGUCACCCUCUGCCCUAAGCCCCUGCCUGUCCCCUCUACCAGAAUGCCCUUCCCCCGUUGCUAUGGCCACCAUUCUGGUCUCUCCAACAACCCCCUCUCGGGGUUCCAGUGGCUUCUCCCCUGUCUGGCUCAGAGGCCCGGGAAGGGGAAACGGAGGCCAAGCAGGGGGAAGCCGAAGUCCCAUGGCCAUGAACUUUCAGGAGAAUGUGACCCUGGCCAUGGCCGUGUUCACCAUCCUGGCCUCCAUCUACUUCUUCA